rnacentral:rRNA from 1 species
GACGAGACUGUAACUGACGCUAAAGCUCGAAAGUGCGGGUAUCGAACAGGAUUAGAUACCCUGGUAGUCCGCACGGUAAACGAUGGAUGCCCGCUGUUUGCGAUAUAUUGUAAGCGGCCAAGCGAAAGCGUUAAGCAUCCCACCUGGGGAGUACGCCGGCAACGGUGAAACUCAAAGGAAUUGACGGGGGCCCGCACAAGCGGAGGAACAUGUGGUUUAAUUCGAUGAUACGCGAGGAACCUUACCCGGGCUUGAACUGCAGCAGGAGGAUACAGAGAUGUUAACGCCCUUCGGGGCUGCUGUGGAGGUGCUGCAUGGUUGUCGUCAGCUCGUGCCGUGAGGUGUCGGCUUAAGUGCCAUAACGAGCGCAACCCCUGCCGUCAGUUGCCAUCAGGUUAAGCUGGGCACUCUGGCGGGACUGCCACCGUAAGGUGUGAGGAAGGUGGGGAUGACGUCAAAUCAGCACGGCCUGAACGUCCGGGGCUACACACGUGUUACAAUGGGUGGUACAGAGAGUGGGCCGUCUGCAAAUGCGGUCAAAUCAUGAAAGCCAUCCUCAGUUCGGAUUGGGGUCUGCAACCCGACCCCAUGAAGCUGGAU